rnacentral:rRNA from 1 species
UACGUAGGGUGCAAGCGUUAAUCGGAAUUACUGGGCGUAAAGCGUGCGCAGGCGGUUUUGUAAGUCUGUCGGUGAAAUCCCCGGGCUCAACCUGGGAAUUGCGAUGGAGACUGCAAGGCUAGAAUCUGGCAGAGGGGGGUAGAAUUCCACGUGUAGCAGUGAAAUGCGUAGAGAUGUGGAGGAACACCGAUGGCGAAGGCAGCCCCCUGGGUCAAGAUUGACGCUCAUGCACGAA